UGGUGUAGCGGUGAAAUGCUUAGAUAUCACGAAGAACUCCGAUUGCGAAGGCAGCUCACUGGAGCGCAACUGACGCUGAAGCUCGAAAGUGCGGGUAUCGAACAGGAUUAGAUACCCUGGUAGUCCGCACGGUAAACGAUGGAUGCCCGCUGUUGGUCUGAACAGGUCAGCGGCCAAGCGAAAGCAUUAAGCAUCCCACCUGGGGAGUACGCCGGCAACGGUGAAACUCAAAGGAAUUGACGGGGGCCCGCACAAGCGGAGGAACAUGUGGUUUAAUUCGAUGAUACGCGAGGAACCUUACCCGGGCUUGAAUUGCAGAGGAAGGAUUUGGAGACAAUGACGCCCUUCGGGGUCUCUGUGAAGGUGCUGCAUGGUUGUCGUCAGCUCGUGCCGUGAGGUGUCGGCUUAAGUGCCAUAACGAGCGCAACCCCUCUCCUUAGUUGCCAUCAGGUUAAGCUGGGCACUCUGGGGACACUGCCACCGUAAGGUGUGAGGAAGGUGGGGAUGACGUCAAAUCAGCACGGCCCUUACGUCCGGGGCUACACACGUGUUACAAUGGGGGGUACAGAAGGCAGCUACACGGCGACGUGAUGCUAAUCCCUAAAGCCUCUCUCAGUUCGGAUUGGAGUCUGCAACCCGACUCCAUGAAGCUGGAUUCGCUAGUAAUCGCGCAUCAGCCAUGGCGCGGUGAAUACGUUCCCGGGCCUUGUACACACCGCCCGUCAAGCCAUGAAAGCCGGGGGCGCCUAAAGUCCGUGACCGUAAGGAGCGGCCUAGGGCGAAACUGGUAAUUGGGGCUAAGUCGUAACAAGGUAGCCGUACCGGAAGGUGCGGCUG
rnacentral:rRNA from 1 species